rnacentral:tRNA from 1 species
GGACUUAGUUUAAUGGUAGAAUAGAGGUCUCCAAAACCUUUGAUACGGGUUCAAUUCCUGUAGUCC